UUUCUUUUCCUAAUAUUUCCCUGUCUGGUAGGGAAUAAAAUCAGAUUUUUAGUAAAUUUUGAUAAAAGUUGAUAAAACAUGUAGUUGAAUUUGAAAAUUUGUGGUUCCUCUUAAAUAUGUGGUUAAAAUAAAGGGUGUGUUUGAGCCCAUUUAAUUUUGAAAAAUGUAAUAUGGAAUAGUAGAUUGAUGGAGAAUGUGUGAUUAAAAAAGUAUGAAAAGUUUUUGAUUUGCUUGUAAUAUUAUUUUUAAUAAAGAAUGUGUGAUUGAAAAUAAAUACUACAGAAACAAUAAUUGAUAGAAUAUAAAAUAAUGGGUAACAAACAGGGGCUAAUUGCUUUGACUUAUAUUAAAAUUUGGAUUUUAAUUUCUAACAAAUAGGGGCAUUGUGUCGUGCCAUUUUUAUCCAGCUGUAUCUAUACAAAGCUAUGGUAAUUUUAUGCUAGUGUUUACAAUAACUUGAUUUCGAGUGUACAACAUUCCAUUUAGCAAUUCCAUUAGCCGGACACAAUAUGCCUAUUAUAGCAUAGGAAAAAUAAUCAUCUAGAAUAUAUUAAUGCAAUAGAUGCAAAGCAUCAUAUAUAGAUCAAAUGAUAAAAUGGGAGGGGAUUCCACAAUGAGAAACUAAAGAACAAUUAUGAUUAGCAAUAUAAAAAACAAGAGAUUUUUUAUCCAUAAGCUUAAGAAAUAAUAUGACAUAAUGCUCAAGGACACAUCAAGAAAAACAUAUAUUUAUAAGGAUCUCACUAAAUAUAAACGUUCAAGGAUCUCACAACAGCACCCUAUAGAUAUCAAAAAAGGCAAAAUGUGACAAAUUUUUAAAACAUAGAAACAAAACCCGAUUGGAGACUUUAACUUGGCCAGCAAGAACGUGUCGCAACAAAGAAAAACAAUGAACUUGACUCAAUUCAGCUUCAGUAAAAGAAACCUCAAGAGGCUACCUAUUUAACUUCAUUGGAUAUAGUAGGCAUCAAGCAUUAAAGGUUUAUGUUUCAGAAAAGGGCAUGACAUCCAAAGGAAAUAUAAGAUGAUAUCAAAGGAUAGCACGACUAAAGUCAGUCAAAAGCAAAUUGACUAGAGCUAUAAUACAGUUGGCAUUAUCUGGUUCCAGAUGCUUUAAGUAACACGGAAUUGACUAGCUAAUGGUCAACUGUCUGAAGACUAAAUUUAGGAAACUGAUAUAGUUGGAGAAGUUAAUACUCAUUCUAAGGACUGUGUCACAGACAACAGGAAGUCUCAGAAUUUCUUCUAUAGAGCUGUUUCAUUUCUGUCAGCAGAUGCAAUGACAAAGUUAACACAGACAAGUUCAUAUGGUUUAGGUCCUGUUAUGGCUUAGCAAAUGCAUAAGCAGCAUGAAUAUAGAAAAUUGAGAAAGGGUGGAGAAAUCGCCAAAAUGUCUUUUAAGUGAGAAAGUGAAAUUGGUAAAGUUACUUUUGCAUACGAAUACUCAGCGGUAGUGGUUGGCUUUGUUUGGGGGGUCAAUGUUCUUCUACAAUGAGGGAAAUGUCCUCUCAUGGGGCACUAUUCACGUGUUGAAGGGUGAAGUACAAUAAUGUAGUAAUUGAAAUUGUGGUGCUAAACAUUUAUGCACGAAAUGAUUUGGCCAUAAUAGGGGAAGAAUUGAAUAAGAAGUGUAUCCCAUUCUCAGCUUUUUCUGAGCAAUACACAUAUUAGAGAGAAAUAGUGGAGAGGUGGAUAAAAAUUAAAGAGAGAAACUAUUGAUUUCUACUUAGUUUCUCCUAUGACAAGAAAGAUUUGCCAUUGUUAUUUCCUGGUAUAUAGAGAGAUGUUAUAAUUCUCCAACAUAAUAGAAUCAUUCUAUACUUCCUUGUAGUUUUUAUCCAAUUGGGAGUUUUCACAUAAAAUCCUUGUGUUCCUCAUAUCUCCAAUUUUUUCUUGAAUAUCACUUCAGUUGCAUUCUAGUGGCCACUUUCAAUUUCCUGAUGAAGUAAAACGAGAACACUUUCUAAGAUCAGGUCAGCUGAAUAAUUUUGAUUUUUAAUUAAAAAAAAAAAA
rnacentral:lncRNA from 1 species